rnacentral:rRNA from 1 species
CGGGGUGCAGCAGGCGCGAAAACUUUACAAUGCUGGCAACAGCGAUAAGGGGACCUCGAGUGCCAGGAUACAAUCUUGGCUGUCGUGAUGCCUAAAAAGCAUUGCAUAGCAAGGGCCGGGCAAGACCGGUGCCAGCCGCCGCGGUAACACCGGCGGCUCGAGUGGUAACCGCUAUUAUUGGGUCUAAAGGGUCUGUAGCCGGCCGGAUAAGUCUCUUGGGAAAUCCGACAGCUCAACUGUCGGGCUUUCAGGGGAUACUGUUCGGCUCGAGGCCGGGAGAGGUGAGAGGUACUUCAGGGGUAGGGGUGAAAUCUUGUAAUCCUUGAAGGACCACCAGUGGCGAAGGCGUCUCACCAGAACGGUCCUGACGGCAAGGGACGAAAGCUAGGGGCACGAACCGGAUUAGAUACCCGGGUAGUCCUAGCCGUAAACGAUACUCGCUAGGUGUCGGCCACGGUGCGACCGUGGUCGGUGCCGUAGGGAAGCCGUGAAGCGAGCCACCUGGGAAGUACGGCCGCAAGGCUGAAACUUAAAGGAAUUGGCGGGGGAGCACAAGGGCGAAUNGC